rnacentral:rRNA from 1 species
CCAAGGAGGCAGCAGGCGCGUAAAUUACCCAAUGUGGACUCCACGAGGUAGUGACGAGAAAUAUCAAUGCGGGGCGCUUCGCGUCUUGCUAUUGGAAUGAGAGCAAUGUAAAACCCUCAUCGAGGAUCAACUGGAGGGCAAGUCUGGUGCCAGCAGCCGCGGUAAUUCCAGCUCCAGAAGCGUAUGCUAAAGUUGUUGCAGUUAAAAAGCUCGUAGUUGAAUUUCUGGUGUGGGAGCCCAGGCCUCGGUGCGAAUGCGCCUUGUCUUGCCUUGCGGCUCCUUUGCCAUCCUCGUUUUUCUUUUGAAGAACGUCAUUCACUGUAAUCAAAGCAGAGUGUUCCAAGCAGGCCGUAGGGCCGGUAUGUUUAUUAUGGGAUGAUCAGAUAGGACUCGGGUGCUAUUUUGUUGGUUUGCACAUCUGAGUAAUGAUUAAUAGGAACAGUCGGGGGUAUCCGUAUUUAGGAGCUAGAGGUGAAAUUCUUGGAUUUCCGAAAGACGAACUACAGCGAAGGCAUUUACCAAGCAUGUUUUCAUUAAUCAAGAACGAAAGUCUGGGGAUCGAAGAUGAUUAGAUNCNUUCCUA